AUUGAACGCUGGCGGCAUGCCUUACACAUGCAAGUCGAGCGGCAGCGCGGGGGCAACCCUGGCGGCGAGCGGCGAACGGGUGAGUAAUACAUCGGAACGUGUCCUGUCGUGGGGGAUAACCAGUCGAAAGACUGGCUAAUACCGCAUGAGAUCGAAAGAUGAAAGCGGGGGACCGCAAGGCCUCGCGCGAUUGGAGCGGCCGAUGUCGGAUUAGCUAGUUGGCGGGGUAAAAGCCCACCAAGGCGACGAUCCGUAGCUGGUUUGAGAGAACGACCAGCAAAACUGGGACUGGGACACGGCCCAGACUCCUACGGGAGGCAGCAGUGGGGAAUUUUGGACAAUGGGGGCAACCCUGAUCCAGCCAUGCCGCGUGUGUGAAGGAGGCCUUCGGGUUGUAAAGCACUUUCGGCCGGAACGAAAUCGCGCGGAUUAAUAACCCGCGUGGAUGACGGUACCGGAAGAAGAAGCACCGGCUAACUACGUGCCAGCCGCCGCCGUAA
rnacentral:rRNA from 1 species